rnacentral:tRNA from 1 species
GGGGUAUGUUACAGAAGGACUGUUAUUUGAUUGCAAAUCAUUAAUUGUGGUUCGAUUCCACCUUGCCCCU